rnacentral:rRNA from 1 species
GCCAAGGGGUACGCCAAUAGGGUGACCCUGCUUGCAGAUCGGAUUACCCACCCUAACCAAUCAGCCUUCAUUAAGGGUCGGUACAUCUUGGAUGGUGUCCUGGUGCUUCAUGAGGUUCUUCAUGAGGUCCGGGUCAAGCGCCUGAAGGCGGUCUUUCUGAAGAUCGAUUUUCACAAAGCCUAUGAUACGGUUAGCUGGUCCUUCCUUAGGGAAGUCCUUCUUCGGAAGGGCUUUGACGACCGGUGGAUCACGAGAGUCAUGCAAAUGGUCUCUUGCGGUCGCACGGCGGUCAGCAUCAACGGCGAGAUCGGUCCCUUCUUCCCUACCCUAUGU